GGCUUACACAUGCAAGUCGAGGGGAAACGACGGGGAAGCUUGCUUCCCCGGGCGUCGACCGGCGCACGGGUGAGUAACGCGUAUCCAACCUGCCUCUGACUGAGGGAUAACCCGUCGAAAGUCGGCCUAAUACCUCAUGGUAUCGUCUGCGGGCAUCCAACGACGAUUAAAGAUUUCAUCGGUCAGGGAUGGGGAUGCGUCUGAUUAGCUUGUUGGCGGGGUAACGGCCCACCAAGGCUACGAUCAGUAGGGGUUCUGAGAGGAAGGUCCCCCACAUUGGAACUGAGACACGGUCCAAACUCCUACGGGAGGCAGCAGUGAGGAAUAUUGGUCAAUGGGCGAGAGCCUGAACCAGCCAAGUAGCGUGCAGGAAGACGGCCCUAUGGGUUGUAAACUGCUUUUAUGCGGGGAUAAAGUGAGGGACGUGUCCCUCAUUGCAGGUACCGCAUGAAUAAGGACCGGCUAAUUCCGUGCCAGCAGCCGCGGUAAUACGGAAGGUCCUGGCGUUAUCCGGAUUUAUUGGGUUUAAAGGGAGCGUAGGCCGUGGAUUAAGCGUGUUGUGAAAUGCAGGUGCUCAACGUCUGCACUGCAGCGCGAACUGGUCCACUUGAGUGUGCGCAACGCAGGCGGAAUUCGUCGUGUAGCGGUGAAAUGCUUAGAUAUGACGAAGAACUCCGAUUGCGAAGGCAGCUUGCGGGAGCACAACUGACGCUGAAGCUCGAAAGUGCGGGUAUCGAACAGGAUUAGAUACCCUGGUAGUCCGCACGGUAAACGAUGGAUGCCCGUUGUCAGGCUGUUUCAGCCUGGUGACCAAGCGAAAGCAUUAAGCAUCCCACCUGGGGAGUACGCCGGCAACGGUGAAACUCAAAGGAAUUGACGGGGGCCCGCACAAGCGGAGGAACAUGUGGUUUAAUUCGAUGAUACGCGAGGAACCU
rnacentral:rRNA from 1 species